rnacentral:rRNA from 1 species
UACGUAGGUCCCGAGCGUUGUCCGGAUUUAUUGGGCGUAAAGCGAGCGCAGGUGGUUUAUUAAGUCUGGUGUAAAAGGCAGUGGCUCAACCAUUGUAUGCAUUGGAAACUGGUAGACUUGAGUGCAGGAGAGGAGAGUGGAAUUCCAUGUGUAGCGGUGAAAUGCGUAGAUAUUAGGAGGAACACCAGUGGCGAAGGCGGCUUACUGGACCGUAACUGACGUUGAGGCUCGAAAGCGUGGGGAGCAAACAGG